rnacentral:rRNA from 1 species
CCUACGGGAGGCAGCAGUAGGGAAUAUUGCUCAAUGGGGGAAACCCUGAAGCAGCAACGCCGCGUGGAGGAUGAAGGUUUUCGGAUUGUAAACUCCUUUUGUUAGAGAAGAUAAUGACGGUAUCUAACGAAUAAGCACCUGCUAACUCCGUGCCAGCAGCCGCGGUAAUACGGAGGGUGCAAGCGUUACUCGGAAUCACUGGGCGUAAAGGGCGCGUAGGCGGGAUAGCAAGUCAGAUGUGAAAUCCUAUGGCUUAACCAUAGAACUGCAUUUGAAACUGUUAUUCUAGAGUAUGGGAGAGGUAGGUGGAAUUCUUGGUGUAGGGGUAAAAUCCGUAGAGAUCAAGAGGAAUACUCAUUGCGAAGGCGACCUGCUAGAACAUAACUGACGCUGAUGCGCGAAAGCGUGGGGAGCAAACAGGAUUAGAUACCCGAGUAGUC